rnacentral:rRNA from 1 species
UUUCUCCUACGGGGCGCAGCAGUGAGGAAUAUUGGUCAAUGGGCGGAAGCCUGAACCAGCCAAGUCGCGUGAGGGAAGAAGGCCCUGCGGGUCGCAGACCUCUUUGGACGGGGAGCAAGGCCGCCGACGUGUCGGCGGAAGGAGAGUACCCGUAGAACAAGCAUCGGCUAACUCCGUGCCAGCAGCCGCGGUAAUACGGAGGGUGCAAGCGUUACUCGGAAUCACUGGGCGUAAAGAGUGCGCAGGCGGGCUUGU